UUGAAUAUCACUGCAUUACUAAAACAGUGUUACCACAUCAACAAUUAGUAAAAAAAGGUAUUUUGUAUAUUCUUGGUACAUUUUGUAAUGCAACUACGGUCACGCUGUUGUAUUGGUUUGCGGUAGACGAAGGCGUAGCGAAAAUAAUAAACAAAUUAACUAUGUCGAGAUAUAUAAACAAUCUGAUAUUACAGUUAUAGUGGUUGUUCGUGUCGAGUGAGUGUGUGUGUACGCGUAUAAUUAUGCAAUGCACCUCAGCCAAAGGCGCUCGAAACGGCGGUGAAAGUGUUGUUGUUGCAGCGAAAUUGGUUUUCGUGGCUUGCAGCAGCAAAGCAGCAGUUGUGGUUCAAUUUGUUGUGGCAUUCGCAGCAAUACUAGCAAUAACAACAGCAGCAAUGAUCAAUUUACCCAAAUAAAGGCGAGAGGCAGUGAGAGCAAUAAGAAAAAAAGUGCUAACGAAGAAAGGGAGCGACAAGUGCAAAGCAAAAAUCAAAUCAAAGCGGACGUCGCGGGGGCAGCAACAACAAAGCUCAGCUGAGCGACGGCGCGUCGACGUCAAUGUUAUCUAUGCUUGUGUG